rnacentral:rRNA from 1 species
UCGGCAAUGGGCGAAAGCCUGACCGAGCGACGCCGCGUGUGCGAUGAAGGCCCUUCGGGUUGUAAAGCACUGUCGAGAGGAAACAAGCCGCAAGGUUGAGUGACCUCUGGAGGAAGCACGGGCUAAGUUCGUGCCAGCAGCCGCGGUAAGACGAACCGUGCGAACGUUGUUCGGAAUCACUGGGCUUAAAGGGUGCGUAGGCGGAAUGGCAAGUCGGAGGUGAAAGCCCCCAGCUUAACUGGGGAAGUGCCCUCGAUACUGCUGUUCUCGAGAGAGGUAGGGGCGUGUGGAACUUCCGGUGGAGCGGUGAAAUGCGUAGAUAUCGGAAGGAACGCCGGUGGCGAAAGCGAUGCGCUGGACCUUUUCUGACGCUGAGGCACGAAAGCUAGGGGAGCGAACGGGAUUAGAUACCCCGGUAGUCCUAGCCCUAAACGAUGGGUACUGGGUUGCGGGUCAGACAUGGACUCGCAGCCGAAGCAAAAGUGGUAAGUACCCCGCCUGGGGAGUAUGGUCGCAAGGCUGAAACUCAAAGG